AUAUGGUAGUUCUUUCAGAUAGUCGAAUGACUUGGAAAAGUCAGUCAAAGAGGGUAAAAACCCCGUAGACGAAAUGUGGAAGACACCUAGGAGGAUCCUGAGUACGGCGGAACACGAGAAAUUCCGUCGGAAUCCGGGAGGACCAUCUCCCAAGGCUAAAUACUCCCUAGUGACCGAUAGUGAACCAGUACCGUGAGGGAAAGGUGAAAAGCACCCCGGAAGGGGAGUGAAAUAGAACCUGAAACCGUGUGCCUACAACAAGUCAAAGCCCGUUAAUGGGUGAUGGCGUGCCUUUUGUAGAAUGAACCGGCGAGUUACGAUUGCAUGCGAGGUUAAGUUGAAGAGACGGAGCCGCAGCGAAAGCGAGUCUGAAUAGGGCGUUUGAGUAUGUAGUCGUAGACCCGAAACCAUGUGAUCUACCCAUGUCCAGGUUGAAGGUGCGGUAAAACGCACUGGAGGACCGAACCCACGUACGUUGAAAAGUGCGGGGAUGAGGUGUGGGUAGCGGAGAAAUUCCAAACGAACUUGGAGAUAGCUGGUUCUCUCCGAAAUAGCUUUAGGGCUAGCCUCGGAAUUGAGAAUGAUGGAGGUAGAGCACUGUUUGGACUAGGGGCCCAUCUCGGGUUACCGAAUUCAGAUAAACUCCGAAUGCCAUUCAUUCAUAUCCGGGAGUCAGACUGUGAGUGAUAAGAUCCAUAGUCGAAAGGGAAACAGCCCAGACCACCAGCUAAGGUCCCAAAAUAUAUGUUAAGUGGAAAAGGAUGUGGGGUUGCACAGACAACUAGGAUGUUGGCUUAGAAGCAGCCAUCAUUUAAAGAGUGCGUAAUAGCUCACUAGUCGAGUGACCCUGCGCCGAAAAUGUACCGGGGCUAAACAUAUUACCGAAGCUGUGGAGUACACCUUUAGGUGUAUUGGUAGGAGAGCGUUCUAAGGGCGUUGAAGGCAGAUCGUGAGGACUGCUGGAGCGCUUAGAAGUGAGAAUGCCGGUAUGAGUAGCGAAAGACAGGUGAGAAUCCUGUCCACCGAAUGACUAAGGUUUCCUGGGGAAGGCUCGUCCGCCCAGGGUUAGUCGGGACCUAAGCCGAGGCCGACAGGCGUAGGCGAUGGAUAACAGGUUGAUAUUCCUGUACCCGUUGUUUUUGUUUGAGCAAUGGAGGGACGCAGGAGGCUAAGGAAUGCAGACGAUCGGAAAUGUCUGUCCAAGCAGUAAGUCUGAAGAGGAGUCAAAUGCUUCUUUUCUUAAGGACAAGCUGUGAUGGGGAGGGAAAUAAUAGUACCGAAGUUCCUGAUGUCACACUGCCGAGAAAAGCUUCUAGUGAGAAAACAGCGGCCCGUACCGCAAACCGACACAGGUAGUCGAGGAGAGAAUCCUAAGGUGAGCGAGAGAACUCUCGUUAAGGAACUCGGCAAAAUGACCCCGUAACUUCGGGAGAAGGGGUGCUGAUCAUACGAUCAGCCGCAGUGAAUAGGCCCAAGCGACUGUUUAUCAAAAACACAGGUCUCUGCAAAAUCGUAAGAUGAAGUAUAGGGGCUGACGCCUGCCCGGUGCUGGAAGGUUAAGAGGAGUGCUUAGCGCAAGCGAAGGUACGAAUUGAAGCCCCAGUAAACGGCGGCCGUAACUAUAACGGUCCUAAGGUAGCGAAAUUCCUUGUCGGGUAAGUUCCGACCCGCACGAAAGGCGUAACGAUUUGGGCACUGUCUCAACGAGAGACUCGGUGAAAUUUUAGUACCUGUGAAGAUGCAGGUUACCCGCGACAGGACGGAAAGACCCCAUGGAGCUUUACUGUAGUUUGAUAUUGAGUGUCUGUACCGCAUGUACAGGAUAGGUAGGAGCCGUAGAAAUCGGAACGCUAGUUUCGAUGGAGGCGCUGGUGGGAUACUACCCCUGCGUUAUGGCCACUCUAACCCGCACCACUAAUCGUGGUGGGAGACAGUGUCAGAUGGGCAGUUUGACUGGGGCGGUCGCCUCCUAAAAGGUAACGGAGGCGCCCAAAGGUUCCCUCAGAAUGGUUGGAAAUCAUUCGAAGAGUGUAAAGGCAGAAGGGAGCUUGACUGCGAGACCAACAAGUCGAGCAGGGACGAAAGUCGGGCUUAGUGAUCCGGUGGUUCCGUAUGGAAGGGCCAUCGCUCAACGGAUAAAAGCUACCCUGGGGAUAACAGGCUUAUCUCCCCCAAGAGUCCACAUCGACGGGGAGGUUUGGCACCUCGAUGUCGGCUCGUCGCAUCCUGGGGCUGUAGUCGGUCCCAAGGGUUGGGCUGUUCGCCCAUUAAAGCGGCACGCGAGCUGGGUUCAGAACGUCGUGAGACAGUUCGGUCCCUAUCCGUCGCGGGCGUUGGAAAUUUGAGAGGAGCUGUCCUUAGUACGAGAGGACCGGGAUGGACUUACCGCUGGUGUACCAGUUGUUCUGCCAAGGGCAUUGCUGGGUAGCUAUGUAGGGAAGGGAUAAACGCUGAAAGCAUCUAAGUGUGAAGCCCACCUCAAGAUGAGAUUUCCCAUUUCUUUAAGAAAGUAAGAUCCCUGAGAGAUGAUCAGGUAGAUAGGUCAGGAGUGGAAGUACAGUGAUGUAUGGAGCGGACUGAUACUAAUCGAUCGAGGACUUAACCAA
rnacentral:rRNA from 1 species